CCUACGGGUGGCAGCAGUGGGGAAUAUUGCACAAUGGGGGAAACCCUGAUGCAGCGACGCCGCGUGAGUGAAGAAGUAUUUCGGUAUGUAAAGCUCUAUCAGCAGGAACGAGACAAGACGGUACCUUACUAAGAAGCCCCGGCUAACUACGUGCCAGCCGCCGCGGUAAUACGGAGGGGACAAGCGUUAUCCGGAAUCCCUGGGUGUAAAGGGCGCGUAGACGGCUGGGCAAGCCAGAAGUGAAAGGCAGGGGCCCAACCCGGGGACUGCUUGGGGAACUGUACGGCUGGAGUGCAGGAGAGGUAAGUGGAAUUCCUAGUGUAGCGGUGAAAGGCGUAGAUAUUAGGAGGAACACCAGUGGCGAAGGCGGCUUACUGGACUGUAACUGACGUUGAGGCUCGAAAGCGUGGGGAGCAAACAGGAUUAGAUACCCGAGUAGUC
rnacentral:rRNA from 1 species